rnacentral:rRNA from 1 species
UGGGGAAUAUUGGACAAUGGGGGAAACCCUGAUCCAGCCAUGCCGCGUGAGUGAUGAAGGCCUUAGGGUUGUAAAGCUCUUUCAGCGGGGAAGAUGAUGACGGUACCCGCAGAAGAAGCCCCGGCUAACUUCGUGCCAGCAGCCGCGGUAAUACGAAGGGGGCUAGCGUUGUUCGGAAUUACUGGGCGUAAAGCGCACGUAGGCGGCUUGAUAAGUCAAAGGUGAAAGCCCUCGGCUCAACCGAGGAACUGCCCUUGAUACUGUCUCGCUCGAGGCCGGGAGAGGGUGGUGGAAUUCCCAGUGUAGCGGUGAAAUGCGUAGAUAUUGGGAGGAACACCCGUGGCGAAGGCGGCCACCUGGACCGGUUCUGACGCUGAGGCGCGAAAGCGUGGGGAGCAAACAGGAUUAGAUACCCUGGUAGUCCACGCUGUAAACGAUGGGUACUCGGUGCUGCGGGUGUCGACCCCUGCAGUGCCUUAGCUAACGCGUUAAGUACCCCGCCUGGGGAGUACGGUCGCAAGGCUG